rnacentral:rRNA from 1 species
CACGUAGGGGGCAAGCGUUGUCCGGAAUCAUUGGGCGUAAAGAGCUCGUAGGCGGCUCGGUAAGUCGGGUGUGAAACCCCCAGGCUCAACCUGGGGACGCCACCCGAUACUGCUGUGGCUAGAGUCCAGUAGGGGAGUGUGGAAUUCCCGGUGUAGCGGUGAAAUGCGCAGAUAUCAGGAGGAACACCGGUGGCGAAGGCGGAUCUCUGGGCCGUAACUGACGCUGAGGAGCGAAAGCAUGGGGAGCGAACAGG